UGAGUGAACGACUCCUCCAGGGGCAGGGGCAGGGGCUUUAGAAGUAAAUGCAUAGCACGCCAAUUCUGUUGGAAACAGAACCUGACGUGCCAAAACAAACUCCCCCCUUCCCUGGAUCCGCUCCAGAUAGAAAACUACCUCUCCCUCUCACUCUCGGAUACCUUCGCCUACCAAUGGGUUCUCUUGAAAUAGAAGGAAAACCCCAAAACCCGAACAUGAACGAAAAUAUUGAAGAAGACGACGGCGUGUCUCCCAUUGAGGAGGUCCGUCUAACUGUUCCAACACGCGACGAUCAUACCCUUCCAGUAUGGACCUUUCGGAUGUGGUUCCUUGGAAUAGCCUCAUGCAUUAUUCUAUCUUUUCUGAACACUUUCUUUUCCUACCGGACCGAACCUCUCACAAUAUCUAUGAUAUCGGUACAGGUUGUGACUCUCCCUAUUGGUCGCUUCAUGGCCAAAACCUUGCCUACUGCCAAGUUCAGGGUUCCUGGAUUUGGUGGUCGCGAGUUUUCCCUUAAUCCUGGGCCUUUUAAUGUUAAAGAGCAUGUGCUCAUUUCCAUUUUUGCUAAUGUGGGGAGCUCAACUGCCUAUGCCGUUGGUAUUAUCGAUAUAAUUAUGGCUUUCUAUAAAAGGAAGAUAUCGUUUUUGGCUAGUUGGAUUCUUGUUUUAACUACUCAGAUGCUGGGGUAUGGAUGGGCUGGGAUCAUGAGGAAGUAUGUAGUGGAUCCAGCAGAGAUGUGGUGGCCGCUUAGUCUUAUGCAAGUUUCUCUCUUCAGGGCUCUGCAUGAGAAAGAUAACAGCCGCAUGUCACGAGGGAAAUUCUUCUUGAUCGCUCUAAUCUGUAGCUUCUCAUGGUAUGUGUUUCCUGGAUACCUUUUCCCGGCUAUUGGAACCAUUUCGUGGGUGUGCUGGGCAUUCCCUAAGUCAGUGACAGCCCAGCAGCUUGGCUCAGGAAUGAGAGGACUUGGUAUUGGAGCUUUCGGGCUUGACUGGUCUGUCAUAGCCUCGUUCAUUGGCAGCCCACUUAUCACCCCGUUCUUUGCCGCUGUCAAUGUCCUUGUGGGAUAUGCUGCAUUUAUGUACGUAAUAUUGCCAAUAGCAUACUGGCGUUUUAAUCUCUACAAUGCGAAGACGUUUCCAAUUUUCUCCUCACAUUUAUUUGACACUAAAGGACACGUGUAUAACGUAUCUGCCAUAGUUGACAACAACUUUGAGCUAGAUGUGGCCGCAUUUCAGAGGCAAGGAAACAUAAAUUUGAGUGUGUUCUUUUCGCUGACGUAUGGGAUUGGUUUUGCUGCCAUUAUGUCCACCCUCACGCAUGUGCUCGUGUUUAAUGGAAAGGAAAUAUGGCAACAGUUUCGAGCUUCAUACAAGGGAAAGAUGGAUGUUCACACAAGAUUAAUGAAGAGGUAUGAGGACAUUCCUGGCUGGUGGUUCCACCUGACGCUAGUGCUGUCUUUUUUACUUUCUCUCGUACUGUGCAUUGUAAUGAAAGACCAAGUCCAAAUGCCGUGGUGGGCGCUCAUCUUUGCGUCAGGCCUUGCUUUGAUUUUUACGCUUCCAGUUAGUGUCAUAACUGCCACAACAAAUCAGACACCAGGGUUAAACAUCAUCACAGAGUACAUUAUGGGUCUAAUUUACCCUGGUAGACCAAUAGCCAACGUCUGCUUCAAAACCUAUGGGUAUAUAAGCAUGACUCAAGCUGUUUCCUUUCUCAGCGAUUUCAAGCUAGGUCACUACAUGAAGAUUCCACCAAGAUCUAUGUUUGUAGUGCAGUGCAUAGGUACUCUAAUAAAUGGAACACUGAACACUGCAGUGGCAUGGUGGCUGCUGACUGGCAUUGAGAACAUAUGCCAGGACGAGCUACUCCCUCCAAACAGUCCAUGGACAUGUCCUGGCGAUCGAGUUUUCUAUGAUGCAUCUGUCAUUUGGGGUUUGAUUGGACCUGCUCGAAUCUUUGGUCGACUUGGAAACUACACAGCACUAAAUUGGUUCUUCCUUGGAGGAGUGCUAGGACCUGUUCUCGUAUGGGGGCUACACAGACUUUUCCCCAAGCAGAAAUGGAUUAAAUUAAUUAAUCUUCCUGUACUUUUGGGAUCAACAGCUGCAAUGCCACCAGCUACAACAGUAAACUUCAAUUGCUGGAUUGUGGUUGCAAUAACUUUCAACUACUUCAUCUUUAAGUUCCACAAGGUUUGGUGGCAGAGGUACAACUAUGUUCUUUCUGCUGCCUUGGAUGCUGGUUUGGCUUUCAUGGGAGUUCUUUUGUACUUCAGUCUGACAAUGAAGGAGAUCAGCCUAAACUGGUGGGGUGCUGCUGGCGAGCACUGUCCCCUUGCUACCUGCCCAACUGCCAAAGGUGUUAUUGUUGAUGGGUGUCCUGUUUAUUAGUUCAGUUAAGUUGUUACUCCAAGCUGCUUCGUUUGAAAGGUCAAGAAAAAAAAAAGGACGAAUAAAGUUUUUCAGGUUUGGAAGUGUUGGCCAUGUUUAAGAAAAUCUUGGUCAUGGCUUGACAAACUUAGGAGGGUUCACCAAUUGUACUUAUGCUAAGGCAUUGCAUAAGCUAGCUGGAUAGUUGAAGAUUUUGUAUCAAACUGCAGCCAGGCGGACAGACGGAUACAUGACUCCACCUUUUCCAAGUUCCUUCUAAAAUCUCAAUUUAGGCCAAGCAGCCCAACGACUAAUUAACGGGUCCGAGGUAGACUAUGCAUAGGAGAACAGUCGGGAUUCCUCUCUUUCUUGGUCUUUACAGGAUCGAUUUGGUGAGGACAGGCCCAUCCCAGAGUUCGAAUUCAACUUCAGCCAUUAACCUAAGCUUAGUCUGGGAAGAACAUUUCCAUUACCGAUUUGAAUAUGAAAACCAGAACUGAUGUCUAUUUAU